rnacentral:tRNA from 1 species
GUUGGAUGUAGGUCAAUGGUAGGACACUUGUCUAGUAUAUAGUAGGCUUUGGGUUCAAAUCCCAGUACCACA